rnacentral:rRNA from 1 species
UCAGGAUGAACGCUAGCUACAGGCUUAACACAUGCAAGUCGAGGGGAAACGACAUCGAAAGCUUGCUUUUGAUGGGCGUCGACCGGCGCACGGGUGAGUAACGCGUAUCCAACCUGCCCACCACUUGGGGAUAACCUUGCGAAAGUAAGACUAAUACCCAAUGACGUCUCUAGAGGACAUCUGAAAGAGAUUAAAGAUUUAUCGGUGAUGGAUGGGGAUGCGUCUGAUUAGCUUGUUGGCGGGGUAACGGCCCACCAAGGCUACGAUCAGUAGGGGUUCUGAGAGGAAGGUCCCCCACAUUGGAACUGAGACACGGUCCAAACUCCUACGGGAGGCAGCAGUGAGGAAUAUUGGUCAAUGGACGAGAGUCUGAACCAGCCAAGUAGCGUGCAGGAUGACGGCCCUAUGGGUUGUAAACUGCUUUUAUAAGGGAAUAAAGUGAGUCUCGUGAGACUUUUUGCAUGUACCUUAUGAAUAAGGACCGGCUAAUUCCGUGCCAGCAGCCGCGGUAAUACGGAAGGUCCGGGCGUUAUCCGGAUUUAUUGGGUUUAAAGGGAGCGUAGGCCGGAGAUUAAGCGUGUUGUGAAAUGUAGAUGCUCAACAUCUGCACUGCAGCGCGAACUGGUUUCCUUGAGUACGCACAAAGUGGGCGGAAUUCGUGGUGUAGCGGUGAAAUGCUUAGAUAUCACGAAGAACUCCGAUUGCGAAGGCAGCUCACUGGAGCGCAACUGACGCUGAAGCUCGAAAGUGCGGGUAUCGAACAGGAUUAGAUACCCUGGUAGUCCGCACGGUAAACGAUGGAUGCCCGCUGUUGGUCUGAAUAGGUCAGCGGCCAAGCGAAAGCAUUAAGCAUCCCACCUGGGGAGUACGCCGGCAACGGUGAAACUCAAAGGAAUUGACG